GAUGAACGCUGGCGGCGUGCUUAACACAUGCAAGUCGAACGAAGCACUUUAUUUGUUUUUCUUCGGGUCUGAUUAUUUUGUGACUGAGUGACGGACGGGUGAGUAACGCGUGGGUAACCUGUCUUGUACGGGGGGAUUACAGAUGGCAACGGCUGCUUAUAAAGCAUAAGCGCACGGAAUCGAAUGCUGCAGUGUGAAAACCUCCGGUGGUAUAAGCUGGACAUGCGUUGGAUUGGCUAGUUGGUGCGGAAACGGCCCACCAAGGCGACGUUACAUAGCCGACAUGAGAGGGUGACCGGCCACAUUUGGGCGGAGACACAGCAGAAACUCCUACGCGAAGGAGCAGAGGGGAAUAUUGCACAAUGGGCGAAAGCAUGAUGCACCGACGCUGGUUGAGCGAAGUAGUAAUGCAGUAUGUAAAGUGCAAUCAGCAGUGAAGAUCAUGACGGUACCUGACCAGAAAGCACCGGCUAAAUACGUG
rnacentral:rRNA from 1 species